rnacentral:lncRNA from 1 species
CCUCAAACCACCAACAUCCAGCCACAAACCCCAUCACCACCGACAUCCUCUCUCGCCGGAAAAUCAAGCAUCUCCGGCCGGUAACGAUCCUCCUUCACUCAAUUACUCCGUCGACAUCCCCUAAAUCACCCAAAACCCUAAUCACCCAGGCGGCAGCUAGCGUGGUGGCAGAGCCACGACGGUGGUUGUGGCAGCAACACAGGCGGCGACUGGUGUGGUGGGUACCGUCGGGGAUAGCGAUGGUGGUGGUUGUGUGGUGGUUUACGGUGGUCGGAGUAGCGGUGGGUAGUUGAUGGUGACGAUGGUUAUGGUGGGGAGUGUUGGUCGUUUGCAGCGUAGGUGGUGAUGCUCGGUUUCUAAUUGGUGAUGGUGAUGCACCCUAAGUUUAAAGGUGUAGCUCGAUGAUGGAUGAUGUUAACCAGAUAAAUUGAUUACCAGCUUUCAUGUUUUUAGUUUUGAAUGGAUGAAAUAUCCGAGAACAUAUCCAAUGCUGAUGCAAUUAAUGUGAAAGGUUUAAUUACAUGAAAUAUUUGAAUGGUUAUCUCUCUGCAACUGUUAAGGGUAUGUUGCAAUCAAUUAGAAAUUAACAUUCGAAAAUUGAGGUGAUUUAGCAGCAGGAGGCAGAUCGUGUAUGCAUCACACAGUCUAAUAAGUAGUCAAAAAUCGGCCCACCGUCAAACUUGUCUCGUCUGCUCCAUAACAUGCUUUUUAUUAUGUUGGUCCUAAGAGAGAGAGAGGGGAAGAAGAAGAUGAUGGGGAUGGGUCCAUCUCUUUUUUCUAGCAGAAAUGCGGUGGUGAGUAUUUGGUGGAGGAGAUAAGAUGGUGGUGGUGGUUUGGGGAAGAAGAAGGAGUUUGGUAAUUUUAGAUGUAUUUAAUUGAGAUAUUUAACUGAUGUUAGAGCUGGGGACCAAGCGAGUUCAUUUUUGACAAGUUUUGGUACCACGCGUGUAAUUAGUAAACCAGUAGGACCAAGUCUACAAUUUUUGUAAACCAUAAAGACCAACCAAGCAUU